UACGGGGGGGGCAAGCGUUGUUCGGAAUUACUGGGCGUAAAGGGUGCGUAGGCGGUUCGCUAAGUUGGAUGUGAAAACUAUGGGCUCAACCCAUAGCCUGCAUCCAAUACUGACGAACUAGAGUUCUGGAGGGGUAGCGGAAUUCCUGGUGUAGCGGUGAAAUGCGUAGAUAUCAGGAGGAACACCUGUGGUGUAGACGGCUUACUGGACUAUAACUGACGCUAGGAACGAAAGCGUGGGUAGCAAACAGG
rnacentral:rRNA from 1 species